rnacentral:sRNA from 1 species
GAGUUGUCUCAGGUAAUGUGACCUUUGCCCCUGGGGAAACCAUUCAAACCUUGUUGUUAGAGGUCCUGGCUGACGACGUUCCGGAGAUUGAAGAGGUUAUCCAAGUGCAACUAACUGAUGCCUCUGGUGGAGGUACUAUUGGGUUAGAUCGAAUUGCAAAUAUUAUUAUUCCUGCCAAUGAUAAUCCUUAUGGUACAGUAGCCUUUGCUCAGACGGUUUAUCGUGUUCAAGAGCCUCUGGAAAGAAGUUCCUGUGCUAACAUAACUGUCAGGCGAAGCGGAGGGCACUUUGGUCGGCUGUUGUUGUUCUACAGUACUUCCGACAUUGAUGUAGUGGCUCUGGCAAUGGAGGAAGGUCAAGAUUUACUGUCCUACUAUGAAUCACCAAUUCAAGGGGUGCCUGACCCACUUUGGAGAACUUGGGUGAAUGUCUCUGCCGUGGGGGAGCCCCAGUAUACCUGUGCCACUUUGUGCCUUAAGGAACAAGCUUGCUCAGCGUUUUCAUUUUUCAGUGCUUCUGAGGGUCCCCAGUGUUUCUGGAUGACAUCAUGGAUCAGCCCAGCUGUCAACAAUUCAGACUUCUGGACCUACAGGAAAAACAUGACCAGGGUAGCAUUUCUUUUUAGUGGUCAGGCUGUGGCUAGGAGUGACUAUGAGCCUGUGACAAGGCAAUGGGCCAUAAUGCAGGAAGGUGAUGAAUUUGCAAAUCUCACAGUGUCUAUCCUUCCUGAUGAUUUCCCAGAGAUGGAUGAGAGUUUUCUAAUUUCUCUCCUUGAAGUUCACCUCAUGAACAUUUCAGCCAGUUUGAAAAAUCAGCCAACCAUAGGACAGCCAAAUACUUCUACAGUUGUCAUAGCACUAAAUGGUGAUGCCUUUGGAGUGUUUGUGAUCUACAGUAUUAGUCCCAAUACUUCCGAAGAUGGCUUAUUUGUUGAAGUUCAGGAGCAGCCCCAAACCUUGGUGGAGCUGAUGAUACACAGGACAGAGGGCAGCUUAGGUCAAGUGGCAGUCGAAUGGCGUGUUGUUGGUGGAACGGCUACUGAAGGUUUAGAUUUUAUAGGUGCUGGAAAGAUUCUGACCUUUGCUGAAGGUGAAACCGAAAAGACAGUCAUUUUAACCAUCUUGGAUGACUCUGAACCAGAGGAUGACGAAAGUAUCAUAGUUAGUUUGGUGUACACUGAAGGUGGAAGUAGAAUUUUGCCAAGGUCCGACACUGUUAGAGUGAACAUUUUGGCCAGUGACCAUGUGGCAGGAAUUGUUAGCUUUCAGACAGCUUCCAGAUCUGUCAUAGGUCAUGAAGGAGAAAUUUUACAAUUCCAUGUGAUAAGAACUUUCCCUGGUCGAGGAAAUGUUACUGUUAACUGGAAAAUUAUUGGGCAAAAUCUAGAACUCAAUUUUGCUAACUUUAGCGGACAACUCUUCUUUCCUGAGGGGUUGUUGAAUACAACAUUGUUUGUACAUUUGUUGGAUGACAACAUUCCUGAGGAGAAAGAAGUAUACCAAAUCAUUCUGUAUGAUGUCAGGACACAAGGAGUUCCACCAGCUGGAAUCGCCCUGCUUGAUGCUCAAGGAUAUGCAGCUGUCCUCACAGUAGAAGCCAGUGAUGAACCACAUGGAGUUUUAAAUUUUGCUCUUUCAUCAAGAUUUGUGUUACUACAAGAGGCUAACAUAACAAUUCAGCUUUUCAUCAACAGAGAAUUUGGAUCUCUAGGAGCUAUCAAUGUCACAUAUACCACGGUUCCUGGAAUGCUGAGUCUGAGGAACCAAACAGUAGGAAACCUAGCAGAGCCAGAAGUUGAUUUUGUCCCUGUCAUUGGCUUUCUGAUUUUAGAAGAAGGGGAAACAGCAGCAGCCAUCAAUAUUACCAUUCUUGAGGAUGAUAUACCAGAGCUAGAAGAAUAUUUCCUGGUGAAUUUAACUUAUGUUGAACUUACCAUGGCUGCUUCAACUUCAUUUCCUCCCAGACUAGAUUCAGAAGGUUUGACUGCACAAGUUAUUAUCGACGCCAAUGAUGGGGCCCGAGGUGUAAUUGAAUGGCAACAAAGCAGGUUUGAAGUAAAUGAAACCCAUGGAAGUUUAACAUUGGUAGCCCAGAGGAGCAGAGAACCUCUUGGCCAUGUUUCCUUAUUUGUGUAUGCUCAGAAUUUGGAAGCACAAGCGGGGCUGGAUUAUAUCUUCACCCCAAUGAUUCUUCAUUUUGCUGAUGGAGAAAGGUAUAAAAAUGUCAAUAUCGUGAUUCUGGAUGAUGACAUUCCAGAAGGAGAUGAAAAAUUUCAGCUGAUUUUAACAAAUCCUUCUCCUGGACUAGAGCUAGGGAAAAAUACAAUAGCCUUAAUUAUUGUCCUUGCUAAUGAUGACGGCCCUGGAAUUCUAUCAUUUAACAACAGUGAGCACUUUUUCCUAAGAGAGCCAACAGCUCUCUAUGUCCAGGAGAGUGUUGCAGUAUUGUACAUUGUUCGGGAACCUGCAGAAGGAUUGUUUGGAACAGUGACAGUUCAGUUCAUUGUGACAGAAGUGAAUUCCUCAAAUGAAUCUAAAGAUCUGACUCCUUCCAAAGGCUACAUUGUUUUAGAAGAAGGUGUUCGAUUCAAGGCCCUACAAAUAUCUGCCAUAUUAGACACGGAACCAGAAAUGGAUGAGUAUUUUGUUUGCACCUUGUUUAAUCCAACUGGAGGUGCUAGACUAGGGGCGCAUGUUCAAACGCUGAUAACAGUUUUGCAAAACCAGGCCCCUUUGGGGCUAUUCAGUAUCUCUGCAGUUGAAAAUAGAGCCACCUCCAUAGACAUCGAAGAAGCCAAUAGAACUGUGUAUUUAAAUGUAUCUCGAACUAAUGGCAUUGAUUUGGCUGUGAGUGUGCAGUGGGAGACAGUAUCUGAAACAGCCUUUGGCAUGAGGGGAAUGGAUGUUGUGUUUUCCAUAUUUCAAAGUUUUUUGGAUGAAUCAGCUUCUGGCUGGUGUUUCUUUACUUUGGAAAAUUUAAUAUAUGGUAUAAUGUUAAGAAAAUCAUCUGUUACUGUUUACCGAUGGCAGGGGAUUUUUAUUCCAGUUGAGGAUUUAAAUAUAGAAAAUCCUAAAACUUGUGAGGCCUUUAAUAUUGGUUUUUCUCCCUACUUUGUGAUUACUCAUGAAGAAAGAAAUGAAAAGCCUUCUCUUAACAGUGUGUUUACAUUCACAUCUGGAUUUAAAUUAUUCCUGGUACAAACAAUCAUUAUUCUGGAAAGUUCUCAAGUAAGAUAUUUUACUUCAGACAGCCAAGAUUAUUUAAUCAUUGCAAGUCAAAGAGAUGAUUCUGAAUUAACUCAGGUCUUCAGGUGGAAUGGAAGAAGCUUCGUGUUGCAUCAAAAACUCCCUGUCCGAGGUGUGCUGACCAUGGCCUUGUUCAACAAGGGAGGCUCUGUGUUCUUAGCCAUUUCCCAGGCUAAUGCUAGGCUGAACUCCCUUUUAUUCAGAUGGUCUGGCAGCGGGUUUAUUAACUUUCAAGAGGUGCCUGUCAGUGGGACAACAGAAGUUGAGGCUUUGUCCUCAGCCAAUGAUAUUUACUUGAUAUUUGCCAAAAAUGUCUUUCGAGGAGAUCAGAAUUCAAUUGAUAUUUUCAUCUGGGAGAUGGGACAGUCUUCCUUCAGGUAUUUGCAGUCCCUAGAUUUUGUUGCUGUUAACAGAAUCCACUCCUUCACACCAGCCUCAGGAAUAGCCCACAUACUUCUUAUUGGCCAAGAUAUGUCUGCUCUUUACUGCUGGAAUUCGGAGCUUAAUCAGUUCUCUUUUGUUCUGGAAGUAUCUUCUGCUUAUGAUGUAGCUUCUGUUACAGUAAAGUCCCUUAAUUCAAGCAAGAAUUUAAUAGCUCUAGUGGGAGCUCAUUCACAUAUAUAUGAGCUAGCCUACAUUUCCAGCCAUUCUGACUUUAUUCCUAGUUCAGGUGAACUGAUAUUUGAACCUGGUGACAGAGAAGCUACAAUAGCAGUAAAUAUCCUUGAUGAUACAGUUCCAGAAAAAGAAGAAUCCUUCAAAGUUCAACUUAAAAAUCCCAAAGGAGGAGCAGAGAUUGGCAUUAAUGAUUCUGUAACAAUAACCAUUCUGUCUAAUGAUGAUGCCUAUGGAAUUGUCGCAUUUGCUCAGAAUUCAUUAUAUAAGCAAGUGGAAGAAAUGGAGCAAGAUAGCCUAGUAACCUUGAACGUUGAACGCUUAAAAGGAACAUAUGGCCGUAUAACCAUAGCAUGGGAAGCUGAUGGAAGUAUUAGUGAUAUAUUUCCUACCUCAGGAGUGAUUUCGUUUACUGAAGGCCAGGUACUGUCAACAAUCACUCUGACUAUUCUUGCUGAUAAUAUACCAGAGUUAUCAGAGGUUGUGAUUGUAACCCUCACCCAUAUCACCACAGAAGGGGUUGAGGACUCAUACAAAGGUGCUACUAUUGAUCAGGACAGAAGCAAGUCUGUUAUAACAACUUUGCCCAAUGACUCACCUUUUGGCUUGGUGGGCUGGCAUGCUGCGUCUGUCUUCAUUAGAGUAGCAGAGCCUAAAGAAAACACCACCACUCUUCAGUUACAAAUAGCUCGAGAUAAAGGACUACUUGGGGAUAUUGCCAUUCACUUGAGAGCUCAACCCAAUUUCUUACUGCAUGUCGAUAAUCAAGCUACUGAGAAUGAAGAUUAUGUAUUGCAAGAAACAAUAAUAAUAAUGAAAGAAAACAUAAAAGAAGCUCAUGCCAAAGUUUCCAUUUUGCCGGGCGCUGGGGAAGUUAUUACUGCCUAUGAGGUGCCUCCACCCUCGAACGUUCUUCAAGUUCCUGUAGUCCGGCUGGCUGGAAGCUUUGGGGCAGUAAAUGUUUAUUGGAAAGCGUCACCAGACGGUGCUGGCUUGGAAGACUUUAAACCAUCUCAUGGGAUUCUUGAAUUUGCAGAUAAACAGGUUACUGCAAUGAUAGAAAUCACCGUAAUUGAUGAUACUGAAUUUGAAUUGACAGAGACGUUCAAUAUUUCCUUGAUCAGUGUUGCUGGAGGUGGCAGACUUGGUGAUGAUGUUGUGGUAACUGUUGUUAUUCCACAAAAUGAUUCUCCAUUUGGAGUAUUUGGAUUUGAAGAAAAGACUGUAAGUUAAAUAUAUCAGGGGAACGCCUUGUUUCAAGCUAGAGUUUCAUGGAAUUUUGAGUAGAAAGUGUCUUACAUUUUUGUUUUGAAAGUCUUGGCCAGGCAUGGUGGCUCAUGCCAGUAAUCCCAGCACUUUGGGAGGCCGUGGCGGGCAGAUCACGAGGUCAGGAGAGUGACACCAUCCUGGCCAACAUGGUUGAAACCCCGUCUCUACUAAAAAUACAAAAAUUAGCUGGGUGUGGUGGCACAUGCCUGUAAUCCCAUAUACUUGGGAGGCUGAGGCGGGAGACUCGCUUGAACCCAGGAGGCAGAGGU